UACGGAGGGUGCAAGCGUUGCUCGGAAUUAUUGGGCGUAAAGGGUAGGUAGGUGGUCUUAUUUGUCUGGGGUGAAAGCCUUGAGCUUAACUCAAGAAGUGCCCCAGAAACGGUGAGACUAGAGUCCUGGAGAGGGUCGUGGAAUUCCCGGUGUAGCGGUGAAAUGCGUAGAGAUCGGGAGGAACACCAGAGGCGAAGGCGGCGACCUGGACAGGUACUGACGCUGAGGUGCGAAAGCGUGGGGAGCAAACAGG
rnacentral:rRNA from 1 species